rnacentral:sRNA from 1 species
UCUAGAAAGAUCACUUGUAACCUGACCCACGAGCCCUGGAAAUCUCCUUUAAAGAGAGGCUGUCUGAGCAGGGAGGUUGGGACCCCUGACUGUGAGCCUCGUGUGUUCAGAAAAGUGGGCAGUGGUGGCACGGGAGCAGGCUAGGCGGGGUACAUCAGGCGGGCUCCGUGCCCAGCAGUAGCGCACUUGGUUCAGCCUGUCUGUCCUUCAUGUUCUGGCCCCCACAUACCACAGUGUUCACCCCAGUUAGCGUGGCUGCAUUCCAGCGGCACGCUGCUAGUGAGCCAGCUGCUAGUGAGGCUGCUGGGGAUGCUGCACAGGGCAGGGCACAUACAAGGGUCCUUGCCCCGUCUGCCUUUGGCAGAGGGACUUCCUCAGCAUGGCUGUUUUGAAAAACAGGUGCAAAAUGUGCCUGUCUGUACAUGACCCCACACCGAGUCCUGAGCCUCCGGGUAGCUGCUUGUGAAUUCACUGCUCUCCCCUCACAGUCUCCACUUGCCUGUUGAGUCCGUUGAUGCCCUGCCACGUUACUGUGCUAACUGGAUUAAUUCACAGACAUCGGUUACUGGGAAUUUCACUUAAUCACAUAUAAAAAUAACAGUAGCCAGAUCUGCCUGUCCAGUUGUUAAAAAAAAAAAACCUCAAGUUUUUAAAAAAGUGCUUCCCUGCAAAAGUCUAGCCUGCAAGGGGCAUGAAAUGGGUUGCCAGGGCUCAGUCUCUGAAGCGCCUGGGGGCAGGCAGGGGUCCGCGGGCACUGGGAAGGCCGCCUUCUGUUCCUAGGUCUGCCAAGCCAGAAGCCCAAGGAGCAGCAGCGGAGCGUGCUUCGCCCGGCAGUGUUACAAGCUCCGCAGCCAAAGGCGCUGUCCCAGACUGUCCCCAGCAGUGGCACCAACGGGGUCAGCCUCCCAGCAGACUGCACGGGGGCAGUGCCAGCAGCAUCCCCCGACACUGCUGCACGGCGAAGUCCUGCCGAAGCUGCCGAUGAGGUGUGUGCACUUGAGGAGAAAGAGCCCCAGAAAAAUGAGUCCAGCAAUGCCUCUGGAGAGGAAGCCUGUGAGAAAAAAGACCCCGCCACACAGCAAGCCUUUGUAUUUGGGCAGAACUUGAGGGACAGAGUUAAGCUGAUCAAUGAGAGCAUGGACGAAGCCGACAUGGAGAAUGCCGGACACCCCAGCGCAGACACACCAACCGCAACAAACUAUUUCCUCCAGUAUAUCAGUUCCAGGUGUGUGUCUCAGUCCCAGCGGCCAGCCUGGCAUGGCGAUGCAGGUGGCCGCGAGGGCUUCUGCCAGAGAGGGGUCUGUGGUCCCCGUGCCCGACUCAGGCCCAGAAUCCAGGUUGCACUCAGGCCCCUCUCUGGGCACAACCUUGGGUGGGCCAGGGUGGUGGGCCUUGUCCUGGGAUUCACUGGACGCCUGAGACAGGACCAGAGUUCUGUGGGGUUGUCCAGGGGCCCAUGGAGGCUACAGCCCAGCCCUUGGAUUAUGCCCUCUGUCUUGUGGACCUCAUGCCCAGAGCAGAACAGAGCAGACCAGAGGUGACUCAGGCACCCCCUUAUCCUGGGUUUGGGCACCUGGGGCAAAGAUCUCAUCACGCCCUUGACUGACAUGGCUGGGGGUGAUGCUACCCACGGCCCAGCUGCCCCUCCAGGUGUCUCAGAAGAAAGUGUGUCCCGCCUGGGAGAUGGGCGGGCAGAGCAGGUGGAAGGUGGCUUCCCUCAUGCUGUGGGGCCCCUCCAUGAGGGCGAGCUAAGGGUUAAUGUUUCCAAUGGCACAGGGAGGUGUGUGGCUUCCUGCCUCUGACACGCCAUCCCGUGCACAGUGUGAGAGGCCCCUCCACUGUGCCCUCUGCACCAGUGUGUGCUCCAUGGGUGCCCACACAUUUGCCUGGCCAUGUUCCCAUGUGACGCCCCCACACUCAUUGCACAUCUUCUCUUCAGUUUAGAGAACUCAACCAAUAGUGCCGACGCCUCCAGCAACAAAUUUGUAUUUGGCCAGAACAUGAGCGAGCGAGUUUUGAGCCCCCCAAAAUUAAACGAGGUCAGUUCAGAUGCCAACAGGGAAAAUGCGGCUGCCGAGUCAGGGUCUGAGUCCUCGUCCCAGGAGGCCACCCCUGAGAAAGAGUCCCUGGCCGAGUCGGCAGCCGCCUACACCAAGGCAACAGCGCGGAAGUGUUUGUUGGAAAAAGUGGAAGUCAUCACCGGGGAGGAGGCGGAGAGCAACGUGUUACAGAUGCAGUGCAAGCUGUUUGUCUUCGACAAGACCUCACAGUCCUGGGUGGAGAGAGGCCGGGGGCUGCUCAGACUCAAUGACAUGGCGUCCACCGACGACGGCACACUACAGUCCCGACUAGGUGAGCUGCAGAGGGCGGGGGCUGUGGCCGGGUCCCCAUGGGGAGGGCUGGGGACUGUGCAAUUCCAAAGGGAAUGAAGGGGGGAGAUCCUGACCCUCCCCUUGUGAGAGUCAAGGCACAGAGCCGGUCUCCCAUGAGAGCCGCCCCCCAAACCCCUCCCUGCACACAGCCCUCAACACCACCCUCACACACUGGCUCCAGCUGCCAGCUUGUCCGUGACCCUCUUAGUGUCAAAAUGGACAAAAGUCUAUGGAAGUUUUUAAGCUGAUUUUCUGACAGUGGCAGGUUUAUGAUAGAAAGGAAAA